rnacentral:rRNA from 1 species
ACGUAGGUGGCGAGCGUUGUCCGGAUUUACUGGGCGUAAAGGGAGCGUAGGCGGACUUUUAAGUGAGAUGUGAAAUACCCGGGCUCAACUUGGGUGCUGCAUUUCAAACUGGAAGUCUAGAGUGCAGGAGAGGAGAAUGGAAUUCCUAGUGUAGCGGUGAAAUGCGUAGAGAUGAGGCAGAACGCCAGUGGCGAAGGCAAGUCACUGGAUUAUAACUGACGCUGAGGCACGAAAGCGUGGGGAUAAAACAG